rnacentral:lncRNA from 1 species
CAGGCAUGAGUCACUGUGCCCAGCUUGAAAAAAAAAAAAAAAACCUUUUUUUUUAAAGUCACAUCCAAACUCUACUACCACUUAACACAAACAAAUGAGCCCAUAUAUGCAGAGCUCCCCAUUUUAAAAAUGAAACACUCUGUGAACAACUAGGUGGGCUCAUACCGUAGCACAAUUAGAGGAAAAUGGAUCCACAUAACUUAGACGACAGAGGAGUUAAAAAGCAAAAAGCAGAGCGACCAAGAGAAAAUUUAAGGAGCAACUUGUAAGAAACUACAAAACUAAAAUUAAAAAAUUAGCCAGGCAUGGUGGCACAUGCCUGUGGUCCCAGCUACUAGGGAGGCUGCGGCAGGAGGAUCCAUUGAGCCCGGGAAGUCAAGGCACAGUGAGCCGUGAUCACAUCACUGCACUCCAGCCUGAGUGACAGAGUGAGACUCUGUCUCAAAAAAAAAAAAAAAAAAAAAAAAGAGAAAGAAACUGUAAAACUAAUAAGCCACCAAAGAAUAAGGAAGACCACCUGGUGACCAUGUUUAAGGACUCCCACUGAUUCAGGCACAGGAAGGGGGAGGUCCUGAUGAAAAAUAAAGGGAGCAUGGCAAUUCCAACAGAAUCACCAACAGAAUCUGGGCCCCAGCAAUUCCUUCCAGCACUCCUCAUCAUUCAACAUACGCCCCACGCCUA